rnacentral:rRNA from 1 species
CCAAUAGCGUAUAUUAAAGUUGUUGCAGUUAAAAAGCUCGUAGUUGAAUUUCGGGACCAAUCUGCCGGUCGUGCCUCCGGUACGCACUGGUUUUAUUGGUUUCUCCCUUCUGACGAACCAUGAUGUCAUUAAUUUGGUGUCAUGGGGAAUCAGGACUGUUACCUUGAAAAAAUUAGAGUGUUUAUAGCAGGCUCACGCUUGAAUACAUUAGCAUGGAAUAAUGAAAUAGGACGUUUGACCCUAUUUUGUUGGUUUCUAGGAUCGACGUAAUGAUUAAUAGGGAUAGUUGGGGGCAUUAGUAUUCAAUUGUCAGAGGUGAAAUUCUUGGAUUUAUUGAAGACUAACUACUGCGAAAGCAUUUGCCAAGGAUGUUUUCAUUAAUCAAGAACGAAAGUUAGGGGAUCGAAGACGAUCAGAUACCGUCGUAGUCUUAACCAUAAACUAUGCCGACUAGGGAUCGGAUGAUGUUAAUUUUUUAAUGACUCAUUCGGCGCCUUACG